UACGUAGGGGGCAAGCGUUGUCCGGAUUUAUUGGGCGUAAAGAGCGUGUAGGCGGCUUUACAGGUCCGUUGUGAAAACUCGAGGCUCAACCUCGAGACGCCGGUGGAAACCGUAAAGCUAGAGUCCGGAAGAGGAGAGUGGAAUUCCUGGUGUAGCGGUGAAAUGCGCAGAUAUCAGGAAGAGCACCCGUGGCGAAGGCGGCGCUCUGGGACGGUACUGACGCUGAGACGCGAAAGCGUGGGGAGCGAACAGG
rnacentral:rRNA from 1 species